GUACAGUUUAUCAGUGUCAAACCAGAGUAGAAUUUGUUUUUGUGUGAAUGAGCGAUUGAGUGAACUACUAAUUCGGCAAAAUUUGGGUCAUAAUGUAUACCUACUGUUUCUUAAAGAAGCAUUUAAACGGCUUGGCAAUGGAUUAACUGCAGCCCAAACACUCGUGAAGCUUUUAACAACGAAUGAGAUAAACUUUUGACUGGAAAGUAUCUGUGAUCUGAAGCAGAAGCACUGUGCAAAAAUUCACUCGCCAUGCAAAACUUGCAGUUAUGUCCGAGAAGGCGUAUUCCUGCUGUCAACAUGAGGAAUGAACCGACGAGCCAGUCAGAUGUGUAUUUGGUGAGUAAACUAUAUUGUGAUAGCUUUUGUUAGCCUACAAUUUCGCUGUUCUCCAAUUAAGUACUUUAGAGAGGAAGCGUUAUCAGAGUUUCUGAGUAAGUACGUUAGACGGCAAUCAUUAUACUUCAGUAAUUUUUGUGCUUGUAUUUUGUAUGAGUUAUGGCCUUUUCGAAUAUUUUUUGUGGGUAUUCGGUAUC